UUGGAGGGCAAGUCUGGUGCCAGCAGCCGCGGUAAUUCCAGCUCCAAUAGCGUAUAUUAAAGUUGUUGCAGUUAAAAAGCUCGUAGUUGAAUUUCGGGAUCAAUUUAUUGGUCGUGCUAUUGUACGUACUGGUAUUAUUGAUUUCUACCUUCUGACGAACCAUGAUGUCAUUAAUUUGGUGACUUGGGGAAUCAGGACUGUUACUUUGAAAAAAUUAGAGUGUUUAAAGCAGGCUCACGCUUGAAUACAUUAGCAUGGAAUAACGAAAUAGGACGUUUGAUUCUAUUUUGUUGGUUUCUAGGAUCGACGUAAUGAUUAAUAGGGAUAGUUGGGGGCAUUAGUAUUCAAUUGUCAGAGGUGAAAUUCUUGGAUUUAUUGAAGACUAACUACUGCGAAAGCAUUUGCCAAGGAUGUUUUCAUUAAUCAAGAACGAAAGUUAGGGGAUCGAAGACGAUCAGAUACCGUCGUAGUCUUAACCAUAAACUAUGCCGACUAGGGAUCGGAUGAUGUUAAUUUUUUAAUGACUCAUUCGGCGCCUUACGGGAAACCAAAGUGUUUGGGUUC
rnacentral:rRNA from 1 species